rnacentral:lncRNA from 1 species
AUGCUCAACCCUUUGAGAGGUCUCCAUGCUCCACACAGAAAAGGUGCUGGCAUUGGACCUGAAGUUUUCAACACACGACGAGGGAAAUGGCAGCCACAUGAGCAAGCAGGUGCUGGCAUUGGACCUGAAGUUUUCAACACACGCCGAGGGAAAUGGCUGGCACAUGAGCAAGCAGGUGCUGGCAUUGGAUCAGAAUUUUUCAACACACGACGAGGGAAAUGGCUGGCACAUCAGAAGCAGGUGAGCAGGGCCACGCAGGGGAGGGCAGCACAGGGAAGCACGGCACAUGGCUUCUUCUGCAUUCCUUCCCAUCUGCCUUGCAGAUGCCUAUCUGCACACGAUGUAACCUAA